rnacentral:rRNA from 1 species
UACGAAGGGGGCUAGCGUUGUUCGGAAUUACUGGGCGUAAAGGGCGCGUAGGCUGUGCUGUAAGUCAGGCGUGAAAGCCCCGGGCUCAACCUGGGAAUUGCGCUUGAUACUGCGGCGCUAGAAGGUGGGAGAGGAUGGCGGAAUUCCCAGUGUAGAGGUGAAAUUCGUAGAUAUUGGGAAGAACACCGGUGGCGAAGGCGGCCAUCUGGCCCAUUUUUGACGCUGAGGCGCGAAAGCGUGGGGAGCAAACAGG